GGCCUGGCUGUGGCUCUCUCGAGUCCGCCCCGCGGGCCUGGCUCCUCCAUGAGCUGGGAAAAGGGGAAGUGCCUGCCGCAAGGAGGGGCCUGGCCCCGCUACCUCAGAAGAGGGAAUUUUAUUCUUACUCAUCGAAUUAUUUUUAUGCUUUGGUUUUUCACUUGGAACCUCAGGCCGCUGUCUCCAGGACAGUAACCCUUUGAGGUCCGAUACAUGUUUCUCGCCCCUGUGCCCUGGAAUUUCAAGCCUGGCCACCGUGGGCUCUGUUCUCUUAACCCGACACACGCUGGGCCUGGACUCUUUCUUAGACUACCGGAGCAGUUACUGGCAAUCAUUACUGUAGUGCUCUGAUCUGGUGUAUCUUGACUGAAACCCACUGUGUGCCACCCGGUAACACUACCAGCGCCUUUCAAAUGCUUCCUGUCUGGCUUUCCCCACCAGCCCCAUAUGUCUCCCAGGAUGUGCUUCUGAGUCCUUACGGAAGUUCUGAAACAGAAUGCCCAGUAGAUUCGUUGCCAGGAGGAGAUGUUUAGCGAUGCCACGCUGAGACUUUAAAGAGGUCUUCCUCCCUGUAUGCAAAUCAUGCCAUCUUAUGCAAAAUACCUCACACUAUGCAAAUGAUCUCACAAUUACACUGUCAGCAUUCCUGUCUCUAGAGGUCUAGGGGCUCCUGGCCACCCAGGACAGGACCAGCAAGACUCAGCUAGAAAUACUUCUUGCUGUGUACUUUCCUCCCUCCUGGCCUGGAAUUUCCAGCAUCAGAACAUACUGAAUUAAAGAAGCAAGCAUGGAGACAGAAACAUGAGCAGGGCCAUCAGGUGAGAAGAUCCAUUGUUGGAAACACUGGCUUUGAUACGGAACUUUAAAAAGUUGAUCUUGGAA